AAAAAGCCUAGACGACAUCACUCUCCGCCGCCAACCCAAUAUUAUUUAUCAAUAUAUACCAAUAUUAUAAAUACUCUUCUUUGCCUCAUUCUUUCCUUCUCUCAUCGUACUCUUGUCUCUUUUUUCUUUCACCAUUACCAAAAAACUAAUCGUAAUUAGUCGUAAAACACCAGCCCGCCGCCACCUCUAGGUGAUUUUACCACAUUUUCGAUCCAAUCGACUCUCUCGUUUUUUUAAAAGAUCUAAGCUAUCUGAUUAACGGCGAGGUGUGAUGCUCAAGCAUUUGUAUCCAUUAAUGACUUUCGACAGACUGAAAAAAAUGGUUGUAAGUAAUUUUUUCUUCUCCUUAGCUUUAAUUUCUUUUUUUUAUUCAUGAUUAAAUUCUAUGUAUUCUUUUACAUAAUCAUUUGAAAAAUAAAUAAAAAAUAGUAUAUUAAUAUUCAUCUUUCCUACAAAUAAUGUGUUUGGAUUAGGCAUAUAAGAUGGCAAUGAAACUGC
rnacentral:lncRNA from 1 species